rnacentral:rRNA from 1 species
UACGAAGGGGGCUAGCGUUGCUCGGAAUCACUGGGCGUAAAGGGCGCGUAGGCGGAUCUUUAAGUCGGGGGUGAAAGCCUGAGGCUCAACCUCAGAAUUGCCUUCGAUACUGGAGAUCUUGAGACCGGAAGAGGUAAGUGGAACUGCGAGUGUAGAGGUGAAAUUCGUAGAUAUUCGCAAGAACACCAGUGGCGAAGGCGGUUCACUGGCCCGGUACUGACGCUGAGGUGCGAAAGCGUGGGGAGCAAACAGG